CUCUUAUCAAGAGAGGUGGAGGGAAGUGCCCUAUGAAGCCCGGCAACCAUCAACACUGUUGAAAUGGUGCCAAUUCACACGAAGCGUUCAGCUUUGAAAGAUGAGAG
rfam:Bacillus subtilis subsp. subtilis str. 168 complete genome.